rnacentral:rRNA from 1 species
GACGAACGCUGGCGGCGUGCCUAAUACAUGCAAGUCGAACGCAGUGGGGACGGGUGAGUAACACGUGGGUAACCUCCCAUCAGAGGGGAUAACACUUGGAAACAGGUGCUAAACCGAUACUGAUGGAUGGACCCGCGGUGCAUUAGCUAGUUGGUGAGGUAACGGCUCACCAAGGCCACGAUGCAUAGCCGCCGGGGGAGGUGGAUCGGCCAAACUGGGACGGAGACAGGGCCCAGACUCCUACGGGAGGCAGCAGGAGGGAAUGUUCGGCAAUGGACGAAAGUCUGACCGAGCAACGCCGGGUGAGUGAAGAAGGUUUUCGGAUCGUAAAACUCUGUUGUUAGAGAAGCGGUAUCUAACCAGAAAGCCAGGGCUAACUACGGGCCAGCAGCCGGGGUAUAC